UGGUGGGUAGUUUGACUGGGGCGGUCUCCUCCUAAAGAGUAACGGAGGAGCACGAAGGUUGGCUAAUCCUGGUCGGACAUCAGGAGGUUAGUGCAAUGGCAUAAGCCAGCUUGACUGCGAGCGUGACGGCGCGAGCAGGUGCGAAAGCAGGUCAUAGUGAUCCGGUGGUUCUGAAUGGAAGGGCCAUCGCUCAACGGAUAAAAGGUACUCCGGGGAUAACAGGCUGAUACCGCCCAAGAGUUCAUAUCGACGGCGGUGUUUGGCACCUCGAUGUCGGCUCAUCACAUCCUGGGGCUGAAGUAGGUCCCAAGGGUAUGGCUGUUCGCCAUUUAAAGUGGUACGCGAGCUGGGUUUAGAACGUCGUGAGACAGUUCGGUCCCUAUCUGCCGUGGGCGCUGGAGAACUGAGGGGGGCUGCUCCUAGUACGAGAGGACCGGAGUGGACGCAUCACUGGUGUUCGGGUUGUCAUGCCAAUGGCACUGCCCGGUAGCUAAAUGCGGAAGAGAUAAGUGCUGAAAGCAUCUAAGCACGAAACUUGCCCCGAGAUGAGUUCUCCCUGAGACUUAGAGUCUCCUGAAGGAACGUUGAAGACGACGACGUUGAUAGGCCGGGUGUGUAAGCGCAGCGAUGCGUUGAGCUAACCGGUACUAA
rnacentral:rRNA from 1 species